CUUUCCAAGCAUCCCCACCAGAUUUUUUUUUUUUAAAAAAAGGGAAAUACCGCCUUUGUCCCCAGGCCCCAACCUGUUCCAGCCUUUGCCCAAACUUAUUAAACAAUUUAGAAUUUUCUUAUAUUCUUCCCCUUAUUAAGUCGGUCAAGUAAAUUAAAAAAUAUUUGUUAUUAGCUAAUAAAUCAACAACGCUUAACCGACAGAAUAGGAGAGGCACCUAAUUUUACACGUCACAUAAUCUCCACCGUUAAAGAAAGGCAUCUUAGCCGUUCGUCUCCCAGAUCCUUUUAUAAAUAACAGGCUAGGGUUUGAUUGCCAUUCUCAUCCUUGUUCCUUGGCUCGGCAUUCUCUGUUGCCUUCAGAUCUUGAUUCCUGGUUUUGUUGUUGCCGGCUAUCGGCUCCGGAUCCGCAUGGAUCGAAUCGAGAUCUACACGCCGAUGGUGGUUUCUGAGCGCUUUGAGUUGCAGACGAAGCUUCUUGCCUCGGAUCUUCCGUUUCGAGGUGUUGUCUCAUCGUUCUUGUUUUCGGCAUCUAUUCUGUAGAAAUUAGCUGGGUCUUGCCUAUGUCAAGGCUUUCGAGAUGUUAAUUCUGCAGGUAUGAUGGAAGAUCGAACUAAUCAACGAGGAUCGGUGGAAGUUUAGUUUUCUCCUUCCUCCACAUCACAAGGACUGCUUCAGCGGUGGAUGAUUGGAUUCUUUAUGCCUGAUUGCCGUUGACGGUUUCAUUGCUGUCUUCGUGUAGAUUCUACUGUUGCAGAUCUGCGAUAUUUGUAUAUCUAAUUAUUGCUCUGAGGGUAUAUAUGGAUGUAUAAGAUUUCGGGAUGAAGGGCCUGGAGACGGUGGGCUUUGAGUCCUGAAUAAUCUUUGUCAUCCGACCUUUGCCAUGACAGGUGCGCUUGCAUGGCAGGUCACACUAUCUUAAUAAAGAAAGUAAUUUUUUGGUUUCGGGGGAGAUCGCACGGGAGUUGCCCGGGAUCUCCCUCCGGUGUGGUGUGUGCCUCCCUUUACAUUCUGCGUUUAUUAUCACUCAUCGAUUGCUCGCCCGCUUUAACCAACUGGUCGCGAAGGACUCUCGACAGCAGAUUUGCCUAGGCUCUUCAAUCAAAUAAGGUAUCAUUUAUCAAUAUAAUCUCUCGGUUAUCAUUCAGACAGGGUAAUUUAUUUUGUGGAAAGAUCCAUUUGUUGAGCUAAUCAUCCAACAAAAUAAAGUCAAAGGCUCCCGGAACCAAGUCGGUCCUACCUUUAAAUUUUUGAUAUUGUCAUUCAUUUACUCCAGUCGUGGUGAUGGUGAUAUUAAUUUGGAUUCUUGGAAAUAUUUUUAUUGGCAGAAUGCUUUCUGGAGAUCGUCGAUAAUAUGAUCGUAAGGUAAUUGGGUUUCGGUUUUCUUAUUGGAAAAAGUAUUUCAGAUCAAUUUUUUAAUGAUCAAAUUUUUAUCGGUUCAUCUUUUCUAAGUGAAAAUAAUAUUGAACAUCAAUACCGUGCAUGUUUUCAAUAUGGCAAUUCUUUCGAUCCUGUUUUGUAUUUUCGGUUGCUCCGUAUGCAUUAUUAUAAUAGCAAUAGUUGCACCAAUUGAUUUCGGUAACGCCCAUCCAAUUAUGUCAUAUCCUCCCGUAUUAUCGAAUAUGUUAAAUAUGUAUGGGAUUGGGAUUACAUCUUGAUACAAUUCAAGUGCGCCGUUACAAUUUUUUAUGUUGGGAAGAUGUAAUAGUGGUUUAGUUUUGGAUUUAAUUAGGGUUUUGCUUCUUUCUGUUUACCUUUUGGGGAUGUUCUGUCAUCUAAAUAUCGCAUCCCCUCCUAGUCUUUUUUAAGUUUGUUUUUGUAAUUUCAAUGUUGUACUUGUCCACUACGUGGGCAUGGAGGAUUCCGGAAGGCUUUUAUUUUAUAUUUUAGCCAGGCAUUUGUUUAGAUGGCCUUGGAGAACUUUGAGCAUCAAUUGCUCCUGUUUUUGUGUUUGGUCGUAAGCUGCUGUUGAUGUAGAGUGUUGUGGUGAUGCAACUUCUCAGUUGAGUUAUGCUCAGGGAUGGAGUUAAUUGAGAAUGUUUCAGAAAUCAGUAAAUCAGUCUCUUGUAAAGUGGUAAUAGUGGAAUUCAUGUCGGUUUAUGUAUUCAUGAUGUCAUGAUGGGAUUCUACGUUAAGAUGGUAUCUAGUUAUUUUUCCUGUGAAAUUAAUGUUGUGGGGUGCUGUCCUGCGGAAUUUUUAUGGCAUUUUACUUGUGUAUUCGUUACUCGAGCUGUGCGAGAAUUCGGUUUUCUCCUUUGUUUUAUCAUUCUCUUUUGGGUCGAUCAUUCAAAUAUUUUUGGAUUGAUUGUAAGCUCUGAACCUGGAAGAUGGGGGGUGAAUGGCGUCUCUGGGCUGGGGCUUUUGUCAUCCUUGGUUUUUCUUGAGGUUUUAGUCUUUUGUCGACCCGUGAAGAUUCCUUGGAAUUUGGACAAUUUAUUCUAGAGCUUGUAUCUCAUUUAUCAUCUGUUGUAUCAAAUUUGAUUUGAGUUUGAGCGUCAGUGAAGCAACAGAUUUUGUUUCAUAUUUUAAAGCCUUCUGGCGUUGGUGUGUGAUUUCAGGAGUUAUGUACGUUUUAUUAAAUUGACUUGAUUUCUAGGGAAACUACCUAUUUGUUUUGCGAAAUUAGUGUAAUUUUUUUUAAUGACUUGUAGAGGUAUUCUAAAACCAACUGAUUAGAUUUUGAAGCUAGUAGUUAAAUCUUAGGAUUUAGAAUUUUAGGGAUGCAUAUGUGCUUUGCCGGUGAGGAUGUUGAGAUAUAUGGUAUUAAUUUUAAGUGGUAAUGUGUAACAUGAAAUGUUCGUUGUUGUAAUGGGAACAUUGUGGUCACCCUAGCCAUGUGUAAAUAACAUCAAGGUAAAUGACAAAAGUACCGUGUGUUAUGUUGCAGAAACUUUAUAAUGAAUGAGACAGACUAGAAUAACGUAAUAUAGGCUUGUGUUUAUUUUUUGGGCGCCUGACGUAAUGUAGAUUAAUUUAUAAUGAUUUAUUCUUUAUGUAAUUGAUGUGAAGGGUUGUUGUUCGAAUUUUGCAUGGAAUUUUCGUUGAAGUUUUUGGUCUUCGUCUGUUUGCUGCUUCAUUGGACAGAUGCUGGAACUUAUCUAAUGCCAUCUCGGGAUUACACGCUGUUUUUUUAAUCGCGGAGGAAGAUGUAGAGGAUUCAUUUGUGGAGGAGACAUUGGAAACUAGAGAUAUGUUGAUGUGUUGCAAUUGUCAUAUGGUUUGGUAAAAGGUUGACAAUGCGAAGUGGGAGCGAGGCUCGAGAUGGGAGCAGGUGGUAUAAAAGAUGGUUUAGUUGUUUCACGACGUGUUAGCAUGUACAAAGAUGAAGGCGCCAUUUAGAUGUUUCACUUUUUGCAAUGGACUGAAUGAUGAAUAAAUAGCAUUUAUUUUAAUUCAAGUCGUUUUUGCUACUUCAUGGAUGAUUUUGUUGAGAUUGAAGUUUAAAAGCUGGACCGGUUUUUGAAUAUGAAGUUUGAGUUCAAGAUUUUA